ACUGCGCUGUGGAGGCCAAAUUC
rnacentral:piRNA from 1 species